rnacentral:rRNA from 1 species
AUUGAACGCUGGCGGCAGGCCUAACACAUGCAAGUCGAGCGGAGCGGCGGACGGGUGAGUAAUGCCUAGGAAUCUGCCUGGUAGUGGGGGAUAACGUCCGGAAACGGGCGCUAAUACCGCAUACUAUCAGAUGAGCCUAGGUCGGAUUAGCUAGUUGGUGGGGUAAAGGCCUACCAAGGCGACGAUCCGUAACUGGUCUGAGAGGAUGAUCAGUCACACUGGAACUGAGACCGGGUCCAGACUCUUAGGGGGGGAAGCAGGGGGGAAUAUGGAAAAAUGGGCGAACGCAUGACCCACCCAUGCCGGGUGUGAGAAGAAGGUCUUGGAAUUGUAAAGCACUUUAGGGUGGGAGGCGUUACCAUCAAAAGAAGCAACGGCUAACUCCGUGCCAGCAGCCGCGGUAAUAC